AUUGAACGCUGGCGGCAGGCUUAACACAUGCAAGUCGAGCGGAGAUGAGGUGCUUGCACCUUAUCUUAGCGGCGGACGGGUGAGUAAUGCUUAGGAAUCUGCCUAUUAGUGGGGGACAACAUUCCGAAAGGAAUGCUAAUACCGCAUACGUCCUACGGGAGAAAGCAGGGGAUCUUCGGACCUUGCGCUAAUAGAUGAGCCUAAGUCGGAUUAGCUAGUUGGUGGGGUAAAGGCCUACCAAGGCGACGAUCUGUAGCGGGUCUGAGAGGAUGAUCCGCCACACUGGGACUGGGACACGGCCCCGACUCCUACGGGAGGCAGCAGUGGGGAAUAUUGGACAAUGGGGGGAACCCUGAUCCAGCCAUGCCGCGUGUGUGAAGAAGGCCUUAUGGUUGUAAAGCACUUUAAGCGAGGAGGAGGCUACUGAGACUAAUACUCUUGGAUAGUGGACGUUACUCGCAGAAUAAGCACCGGCUAACUCUGUGCCAGCCGCCGCAGUAA
rnacentral:rRNA from 1 species